rnacentral:tRNA from 1 species
GGGGAAUUAGCUCAGAUGGUAGAGCGCUCGCUUUGCAUGCGAGAGGUACCGGGAUCGAUGCCCGGAUUCUCCA